AAAAAAAAAAAAAAAAAAAAACUCAGUAACAGUAUUGCUUAAGAAAAGCAACAACAAAGUCUCGACCAAGAAUGUGCUUUUGUGUUAGCAAUCAUCUCAAUUGAGUUAUUCAACACUAAUAUUUUUUAUUAUUAUAUGAUAAAAAUAUGAAAGUUGGACCAAAAUAAUUUGGUAUUGUAUUUUUAGAUCAUUAAUUUUGUUUUAAUUAAAUGGGUCUCAACUUCAUUAACGUUCCAAAUUAGGGAUGCUUUAGUAGGUAUUAAUUGAAAAAUCUGAAUUCCUAACAAUAUGCACUUGAAUUUGAAUGUUAUUAAUUGAAAAAUCUGAAUUCCCUGUUAAUUUUCGUUAUUAUUUUUUUUUUAAUUUUCAAAUUAGGUUAUUAAUUGAGCCGUUCUACUAGAUGUAGAGACGAUGUCCAAAAUGCAGUAGUCAUAGAGUAAUUCUGUAUUUUGUUUUGUUUUGCUAACAUGCAUUAUACACAUCAUCACACAAAACAUGUUUUAUUAAAAAAAUUUAACACCUGAUCUCUUAUUUCCAUAACAAAAUAUACUCAGAUAAGAUAUUCUUUGGAAAUGAUAGUUACACACGAUGUACUUGUUUUUUUUUUUUGGUUGUAAAUAAAUAAUAAUUUUUUUUUAAAAAAAAUCUAAUAAAUCGUGAUAAAUUCAUUAGCUUGCAAAAUGUGUUCAGAUGAGUAUUCAAAUACUAUAUUAUAUGACUGCCUCUGCCUGAUCUAAGAUUUUUUUCCUUCGUCAUAUUAUAUACAUGGGAAAAUUUCUUGAAUUAAUUGUAUUAUCCGGUCUCGAUUAAUAUUAAAUGUUAUGAUAUUAUUUGAGUGGAUUUCCGCCACACGCACACCGUUUACAUUCAUGUUGAUUCAUCUCACCUUACUUUGCUUCAUCAGCCGACGUCUUAUUAUGUGAUGUUUGAUUUGGAUCACACACCGUUUGUAAUUAAACUGGUGAAUAUUUUGUAUGAGUAGAUGAGCGUUAUUUGUAAUCACUUACUCUUUUAAUAUGUUUUAUAAAAUGAAAAAAGCCCAAGCCUAAUGGCAACACUCACUCCCUGGACGUUAUUCUCCCCGUAUGGAACAUAUUUCGCUCUAAAUAAAUAAUAGGGAUAAUUUACUUCUUGAUGUACAAGUAACCAUUUACACACUCUUAUAAUAAAAAUAAUGUCUAUUAGUCUCAUUACAUAUUUGAUUAUAUAUCAGUGGUAUUCUAAUUAAUUGAAAAAAAGAAAAAAAGGAAGAAGAAUAAGCAAAAUUUAAUUAAUAUUUGUCGUUUGCAUUUCGUCAAGGACCUUCUUGAUGUAUGCCUCUUAAAAGGCAGUGACAAUUUGACAUUAUCGAUGUAUUCUUUGCCUUCAUACCUGAACCGGAGUCUGAAUCUGAGAUAUUUUUAAUAUAAAAUUUACUUUUUAUUCAAAAAAAAUUCCACUCAAAUAAGAAUAAA
rnacentral:lncRNA from 1 species